rnacentral:rRNA from 1 species
CUACCGUUUGAAUGGCUUAGUGAGGUCUUGGGAUUGGCUUCGGGAAGCCGGCAACGGCAUCUUGUCGCUGAGAACUUGAUCAAACUUGGUCAUUUAGAGGAAGUAAAAGUCGUAACAAGGUUUCCGUAGGUGAACCUGCGGAAGGAUCAUUAUCGAGUUUUGACUGGGUUGUAGCUGGCCUUCCGAGGCAUGUGCACGCCCUGCUCAUCCACUCUACACCUGUGCACUUACUGUGGGUUUUACGGGUCGUGAAAUGGGCUCGUUCAUUCGGGCUUGUUGAGCGCACUUGUUGCCUGCGUUUAUCACAAACUCCAUAAAGUAUUAGAAUGUGUAUUGCGAUGUAACGCAUCUAUAUACAACUUUCAGCAACGGAUCUCUUGGCUCUCGCAUCGAUGAAGAACGCAGCGAAAUGCGAUAAGUAAUGUGAAUUGCAGAAUUCAGUGAAUCAUCGAAUCUUUGAACGCACCUUGCGCUCCUUGGUAUUCCGAGGAGCAUGCCUGUUUGAGUGUCAUGAAAUCUUCAAUCUACAAGCUUCUUAUGGGAGUUUGUAGGCUUGGACUUGGAGGCUUGUCGGUCCUUUACAGGUCGGCUCCUCUCAAAUGCAUUAGCUUGGUUCCUUGCGGAUCGGCUUGUCGGUGUGAUAAUGUCUACGCCGCGACCGUGAAGCGUGUUUGGGCGAGCUUCUAACCGUCUCGUUACGGAGACAACUUUAUGACCUCUGACCUCAAAUCAGGUAGGACUACCCGCUGAACUUAAGCA